UACGAAGGGGGCUAGCGUUGCUCGGAAUCACUGGGCGUAAAGGGUGCGUAGGCGGGCCUUUAAGUCAGGGGUGAAAUCCUGGAGCUCAACUCCAGAACUGCCUUUGAUACUGAAGAUCUUGAGUUCGGGAGAGGUGAGUGGAACUGCGAGUGUAGAGGUGAAAUUCGUAGAUAUUCGGAGGAACACCAGUGGCGAAGGCGGCUCACUGGUCCGGUACUGACGCUGAGGUGCGAAAGCGUGGGGAGCAAACAGG
rnacentral:rRNA from 1 species